UAUUGGCUUUUAUCACCCAACUGAGAGUCUCCCUGUUUUAUGUUUGUGUUUUAUGCAGCUGGACAAUCCAGAUGAGCAGGCAGCCCAGAUCAGACGAGAACUGGAUGGACGUCUCCAAAUGGCAGACCAAAUAGCCAGGGAACGCAAAUUUCCUAAAUUUGUAUCCAAAGAAAUGGAGAACAUGUACAUUGAGGAGCUGAAGUCCUCUGUGAACCUGCUCAUGGCCAACUUGGAGAGCAUGCCGGUGUCCAAGGGUGGAGAGUUCAAGCUGCCAGAAACUCAAACGCAGCCACAAUGCUUCCAUCAUUGACAUGGGCGAGGAGAGUGAGAACCAGCUGUCCAAGUCAGAUGUCCUGCUGUCUUUCUCCUUGGAGGUGGUGAUCAUGGAAGUUCAGGCCUUAAUCCUUGGCUCCAAAUCGCAUUUCUACUGCACAAUGGAGGUCGAGG